UACGUAGGGGGCUAGCGUUGUCCGGAAUCAUUGGGCGUAAAGCGCGCGUAGGCGGCCAGAUAAGUCCGGUGUGAAAGUCACAGGCUCAACCUGUGAAUGCCGCUGGAAACUGUCUGGCUUGAGUCCGGAAGGGGCGAGUGGAAUUCCUGGUGUAGCGGUGAAAUGCGCAGAUAUCAGGAGGAACACCAGCGGCGAAGGCGGCACUCUGGGCUGGUACUGACGCUGAGGAGCGAAAGCGUGGGUAGCAAACAGG
rnacentral:rRNA from 1 species